rnacentral:rRNA from 1 species
GUCGAGAAUCUUCCGCAAUGGGCGAAAGCCUGACGGAGCGACACCGCGUGCAGGAUGAAGGCCUUCGGGUUGUAAACUGCUGUCACGCCAUAGGAACCCCGCAAGGGUUGACUAAAGCGAGAGGAAGCAACGGCUAACUCUGUGCCAGCAGCCGCGGUAAGACAGAGGUUGCAAACGUUGUUCGGAAUUACUGGGCAUAAAGCGCACGUAGGCGGCUAGCCAAGUCAAGCGUGAAAUCCCCCGGCUCAACCGGGGAACUGCGCCUGAUACUGACUGGCUUGAGAACGGUAGGGGUGAGCGGAACUCCAGGUGGAGCGGUGAAAUGCGUAGAUAUCUGGAGGAACACCGGUGGCGAAAGCGGCUCACUGGACCGUAACUGACGCUGAGGUGCGAAAGCUAGGGUAGCAAACGGGAUUAGAUACCCGUGUAGUCC